UUGACCUCGGAUCAGGUAGGAAUAC
rnacentral:rRNA from 14 species